rnacentral:rRNA from 1 species
GACAUUUCGUAGGUUCUUCCCACUUGACAGAGCUUUACGACCCGAAAGCCUUCAUCACUCACGCGGCGUUGCUGCGUCAGGGUUUCCCCCAUUGCGCAAAAUUCCUCACUGCUGCCUCCCGUAGGAAGCCGAAUUCCAGCACACUGGCGGCCGUUACUAGUGGAUCCGAGCUCGGUACCAAGCUUGGCGUAAUCAUGGUCAUAGCUGUUUCCUGUGA